UGAGGAAUAUUGGGCAAUGGGCGAAAGCCUGACCCAGCCACGCCGCGUGAGUGAUGAAGGCCUUCGGGUCGUAAAGCUCUGUGGGGAGAGACGAAAGUGCGCAUCAGGAAAUGGGUGCGUUUUGACGGUACCUCCUUAGCAAGCACCGGCUAACUCUGUGCCAGCAGCCGCGGUAAUACAGAGGGUGCAAACGUUGCUCGGAUUUACUGGGCGUAAAGCGCGUGUAGGCGGACUCGCAAGUCGGUUGUGAAAUCCCUGGGCUCAACCUAGGAACUGCAUCCGAAACUGCUUGUCUUGAGUAAUGGAGAGGGUGGCGGAAUUCCCGGUGUAGAGGUGAAAUUCGUAGAUAUCGGGAGGAACACCAGUGGCGAAGGCGGCCACCUGGACAUUCACUGACGCUGAGACGCGAAAGCGUGGGGAGCAAACAGGAUUAGAUACCCCCGUAGUCC
rnacentral:rRNA from 1 species